GGGGGGCAGCGUUAGGUCAGGUCACACUGAGGUUAUUGUAUUGAGUGUAAGUCAUAGGGUGCGUGGGGUUGAAAGUGAGGUAAGGUGUGGUGGGUGUGGGUGAGGUGAGGUUAGGUGUGGUUGGAAAGAGGGAGAGAGGGCAGGUGGAGAGAGGUAGAUAAGAGUUAGAUGAGGUUGGGUAAGGUAAAGUUAGAUUGGAAGGGGUUGGAAGAGGUUAGAAGGGAUUGGGUAAGGUUUGGAGGGGUUUGGGUGGGUUUGGUUGAGGUUAGAAGAGGUUGGGUAAGGUUUGGAGGGGUUUGGGUGGGUUUGGUUGAAGUUAGAAGAGGUUAAAAGAUGUUGGGUGAGGUUAGAAGGGGUUUGAGUGGGGUCUGUUGAGGGUAGAAGGGGUUGGGUGAGGUUAGAUGGGGUUGGGUGAAACUGGGUGAGGUUAGAAGUUUAGGUUAAGUGAGGUGACCUAAGUAAAGUGGAGUGAGUUUAAGUAAGAUUAGGUUGGGUCAAAUAGAGUUGAGUUUGACUUGGUGGAAAGGGUUUCGAUUUCAUUAAAGGGUUCCAGAUAUCGAUUAAAGGGUUCAGGAUGCUUUCAGGAGGGAUCAAAAGGGAUUAAGGGGAUCGAAUAGUUUAAAGAGCAGGAGAAUAUCGAUUAAAGGGUUCAGGAUGCUUUCAGGAGGGAUCAAAAGGGAUUAAGGGGAUCGAAUAGUUUAAAGAGCAGGAGAGGAGUGAUACAGGGGAUUGGAGGGGUCCCGUUAGGCAUCAAGCACCACUCAGGGUCACACGGGGAAGGGGUUUGAGGUCAUAA